rnacentral:rRNA from 1 species
CCUACGGGUGGCAGCAGUGAGGAAUAUUGGUCAAUGGCCGGAAGGCUGAACCAGCCAAGCCGCGUGAAGGACGAAGGUGCCAAGCAUUGUAAACUUCUUUUGUCAAGGGACAAAAUCAGGCUCGAGAGCCUGACCGAGGGUACUUGAAGAAACAGCAUCGGCUAACUCCGUGCCAGCAGCCGCGGUAAUACGGAGGAUGCGAGCGUUAUCCGGAUUUAUGGGGUUUAAAGGGUGCGUAGGCGGACUGUUCAGUCAGCGGUAAAAGCCCGGGGCUCAACCCCGGCGAGCCGUUGAAACUGGCUGUUUUGAGAUGUCGAGAGGUAUGCGGAAUGCGCAGUGUAGCGGUGAAAUGCUUAGAUAUUGCGCAGAACUCCGAUUGCGAAGGCAGCAUACCGGCGGCGAUCUGACGCUGAGGCACGAAAGCGUGGGUAUCGAACAGGAUUAGAUACCCCUGUAGUC